GACGAACGCUGGCGGCGUGCUUAACACAUGCAAGUCGAGCGGUAAGGCCUUUCGGGGUACCCUAGCGGCGAACGGGUGAGUAACACGUGGGUGAUCUGCCCUGCACUUCGGGAUAAGCCUGGGAAACUGGGUCUAAUACCGGAUAUGACCUCCUAUCGCAUGGUGGGUGGUGGAAAGAUUUAUCGGUGCAGGAUGGGCCCGCGGCCUAUCAGCUUGUUGGUGGGGUAAUGGCCUACCAAGGCGACGACGGGUAGCCGACCUGAGAGGGUGACCGGCCACACUGGGACUGAGACACGGCCCAGACGCCUACGGGAGGCAGCAGUGGGGAAUAUGGCACAAUGGGCGAAAGCCUGAUGCAGCGACGCCGCGUGAGGGAUGACGGCCUUCGGGUUGUAAACCUCUUUCAGCAGGGACGAAGCGCAAGUGACGGUACCUGCAGAAGAAGCACCGGCUAACUACGUG
rnacentral:rRNA from 1 species